CCUACGGGAGGCAGCAGUGAGGAAUAUUGGUCAAUGGGCGGGAGCCUGAACCAGCCAAGCCGCGUGAAGGACGAAGGCGCCAGGCGUCGUCAACUUCUUUUGUCGGGGAACAAAGGGCGCCACGCGUGGCGUUGUGAGUGUACCCGAAGAAAAAGCAUCGGCUAACUCCGUUCCAGCAGCCGCGGUAAUACGGAGGAUGCGAGCGUUAUCCGGAUUUCUUGGGUUUAAAGGGUGCGUAGGCGGGAGGGAAAGUCAGGGGUAAAAGCCCGGGGCUCAACCCCGGCGUGCCGUUGAAUCUGUCGGACUAGAGACGGCGGGAAGUACGGGGAAUGCGCGGUGUAGCGGUGAAAUGCAUAGAGAUCGCGCAGAACUCCGAUUGCGAAGGCAGCGUACCGGCGCCGGACUGACGCUGAGGCACGAAAGCGUGGGUAUCGAACAGGAUUAGAUACCCGUGUAGUC
rnacentral:rRNA from 1 species